GCGGCCAUAGUUUAGCUUGGUAGAACAUGGGACUGUGGAUCCCAGAACGAGGGUCCGAAUCCCUCUGGCCGCU
rnacentral:tRNA from 1 species